UGCUUAGUAGUCAGCACAGGCAAAACUUUCAUUGCUUUGAUGUUGAUUCAUGGUUUUAAGCCUUCAAUAAAUUUCUACAAUUUCUAUUCCUAAAAUUAAGGAUCAAAUUUGAUCAAAUUGAAGUUCCUCCACGAUUGCAAGACAAGGAAAAUAAAACCAUAUAUACACAUAUUUGUUAAAUUCUUUAAAUAGUUAAUACCUAACCACCCUUAUAUUUUGACAUUUAUACCUUCAAUGCAGAAGCAGGGUACAAUAGUAAUGAGAUUUUCUGAUCUGCGCUUUAUUAUUUCAAAGUUCUCCUUACUUCCAUUUACAUUUUUCUGCUUCAUAAUGUUAGAAAAAGAUUAAAAAGAGUUUCAUAGGGUGAGGUGGUG
rnacentral:misc_RNA from 1 species